rnacentral:lncRNA from 1 species
AAUUUGUUCACUGACCUUUACAGAUAUGGAAACUGAGCCCUCACACAUGGACUGAAUUCUGACAAGCAGAGGAUAAAGGCAGAACAACAUGACUGAAGGGAAGAUGCUUUUGUGAUAUAUCCCAGCAUGCUGAUGACCCCAAGGAGGACCACUGGAUACCUAGCAAGGAGCUGGCUGCAGCAUACCAUGAAUCCUCACAGCAACUUAAUGAGGAAAAAGAAGAACUGAUUGAAGAGUGGCAACCAGAACCUCUUGUUCCUCCUGUCCCAAAAGACCAUCCUGCUCUCAACUACAACAUCGUUUCAGGGCAAUAUGAUAAAAUUGAAAAAUUUCACAAAUGUCAGGAGAACAAGAUCUGGUGUCUGGGUUUCAACUCUUAGAGCUUCCCAGCUCGUAGCUAUGCUCCUGAAUUCCUCUGGCAGCCCUCCUCAAGGACCUCUGUGAGACAAAGUCAGAAAUGACUUCACUGGAGACCAAGAGAGCCCACAGAGCUCUUCCUGCUGCUUCUUCUACCCUUGUACUCACUCGGCUCUCUAAAUUUGUCUCAGCUCCAGACACGUGGGAAGAUUACCUUUCUCUGAUGUCUUGGGAUUGAACUGAGCUAUGUGGCUAGUUACAGGCCAAUAGGCUGUUAGCAGAUGUGACAUCUAACACAACUAGGCUGCAGUUUGAAAUAAAUACCAGUGCACAGCCUCCAGAAUUCCUCCCCUGCUAAGGUGACUGAGAAGACCUCAGCUGAGAUGGUGGGAAAAAAAAAUAUUCAAGCAGCUUGGAUAACGAAGUUCCUAAAUGGAAGAACAUUGUCCCAGAGAGUCACUUGAACCCAGAAUAGAUUUACGUGAUCAGACAAUAAACCUCUAUGACACCCUGAGUUUAUUUUGUUUUUUGAUUUUGUUACUGCAGCAUAACUCAACAUACCCUGACUGGUAUAGUCAUGGAGAUUAUCAUCAGGAUCUCCUAUGCUCCUGCAUAUGACACAGCCAGAGUUCUGCAGACAUUUAACUUUGGGCAUCUAAAUAUCAUAAAUGC